UACAGAGGUCCCAAGCGUUAUCCGGAUUCACUGGGUUUAAAGGGUGCGUAGGCGGGUUGGUAAGUCCGUGGUGAAAUCCCCAAGCUUAACUUGGGAACUGCCGUGGAUACUAUCAAUCUUGAAUAUCGUGGAGGUAAGCGGAAUAUGUCAUGUAGCGGUGAAAUGCUUAGAUAUGACAUAGAACACCAAUUGCGUAGGCAGCUUACUACACGAUCAUUGACGCUGAGGCACGAAAGCGUGGGGAGCAAACAGG
rnacentral:rRNA from 1 species